rnacentral:rRNA from 1 species
AGUGAACGCUGGCGGUAGGCCUAACACAUGCAAGUCGAACGGCAGCACAGUAAGAGCUUGCUCUUACGGGUGGCGAGUGGCGGACGGGUGAGGAAUACAUCGGCAUCUACUUUUUCGUGGGGGAUAACGUAGGGAAACUUACGCUAAUACCGCAUACGACCUACGGGUGAAAGCAGGGGAUCUUCGUACCUUGCCCGCUCGCAUGAGCCGAUGUCGGAUUAGCUAGUUGGCGGGGUAAGGGCCCACCAAGGCGACGAUCCGUAGCUGGUCUGAGAGGAUGAUCAGCCACACUGGAACGGAGACACGGUCCAGACUCCUACGGGAGGCAGCAGUGGGGAUUAUUGGACAAUGGGCACAAGCCUGCUCCAGCCAUACCGCGUGGGUGAAGAAGGCCUUCGAGUGUUAGAGCCCUUUUGUUGGGAAAGAAAAGCAGCAGGUUAAUACCCCGCUGUUCUGACGGUACCCAAAGAGUAAGCACCGGCUAACUUCGUG